GCAUCUAAGCGGGAAGCCCCCCUCAAGAUUAGGUUUCUCUGGACCUUUAAGGUCCCUAAAGGGUCGUUGUAGACCACAACGUUGAUAGGCGGGGUGUGGAAGUGCAGUAAUGCAUUAAGCUAACCCGUACUAAUUGCCCGUGAGGCUUGAUCAUAUAACACCCAAGAAG
rnacentral:rRNA from 1 species